CACGGCUGGAUUAACGUGUGUAAGAGGAAACUGUAGCUCAGUUCUGUGUGAACUUGUGCAGCUGGACGUGUGGACCGCGGUUCGGUAACUGAGGGGCGAAGCUGCUAGAAUGUUUAUAUCUGAACGCAUUGUGCUGUUAUAGUCCUUCCAAAGUACCUCUGUAGUUGGUACAGGGGGUUAAUACCUCAGUCUGAGGGUAAAUGUGACUGUAAAGUCGGUUACUGAGCGGUAUUGUUUAGCUUAUAUCCGAAUAGCCUCAGGUUAGCUCUGAGCUAAUACGUUAAAAAGACGCGAAGGUUCAAAAUGUAAACAAAAUCUACCAGUGGCACUCUUGUGUUGAUGAGGAAUCCCUGAAAGUGGCUGAAUAGCUUUUACCAUGCUGACUCAUCACAGGAGAACUCUGCGGAGUUAAUUAAUCGGAUUGAUAAACAUCACAGUAUUACACAAAGGUGUACAAAGCAGAGACCAAAAUGGCAUUCUGGAGGAUGAAUCUGAGUUAGGUGGAUGUCAGAGCAAUAUUACUGUUGGCUGCCACAGUGCCAACUGUAAAGGAGGAAACCGGAGCUCCUGGAGGAAACCCACACAGACACGGGGAGAACAUGCAAACUCCACACAGGAAGGACCCGGACCGCCCCAGCUGGAAAUCAAACCCAGGACCUUCUUGCUGUGAGGCUACCCACUGAGCCACCAUGCCGCCCCUCACAGACAGUGGAGAGGCUUAAUUCAAAUUGAGAGUGGAGCUACAGACCUUUUUCUCACCCGAGUGGUACAGAGUGAGACUGCUGAGCUGAGGCACACUCACCCUCAGUGAGUAUGCUCUAAUUCUGUUUAAAACGUGGAUAUAUACUCAUAUUAUUAAAAUCACAAACAACAGAACUAUUACACAUUAAAAAUUAUAGAUGGAAAAUGUUUUGCAUCAAUAGGGAGUCGUACUGGCUUCAGAAUUG